UCACAAUUGCAAAUCCACUUCCGGGGUAACACCACGAGCUACCGGGUGGGCUGCUUGUGCGGAAAGCGGUGGCUUCCCGCUUGCCGUUUGUGUUGCUUUAGUCCGUUAGUGGAAUGAUGAGGUCCUAAACAGCCCAAACGGGCGCAAAGCGAACGUUUUCUUAAGACCUUUGUCGUCUUUUGUUGAAACUUUGACCAUGUGGGGGCAGUGUGGUAAUACGAAUGCCCGCCUCUCGGCUCUACCUCCGCCCUUCAUGUUUGGAAAACAGUUACUCCUCAAAGUGAAAAUUCCUUCUUUAAAGAGAAUGCUUCUGUAAGAGACAAGAGUCUGGAAUAGGAAUUUAGACCCAACCUAGCCACCACACAUUGGCGGAGCCAACCAGGAGAGAGUUCACUCCAGAAACAACAGUGUUAGAUGUGAACUCGGUGAUUCUAUUGAGCAGAUGAAAAGGUCAAAACACCGUCCAACAUUAUCUUGGAACAGCAGCCAUAGGUGCAUCAGCAGAAGGCAGCACUGGCACAGGAGCUCCUGGCCCCGUGAACAAAGAGAAUCUCCAUGGGGGUGGUAGUGGCUAGGAGCUCAAGAAACAUGGGCUCAGCCAGUAGCCCUGCACCUCACCACUUUCACCUCAGGCAAGUGUUGGAGCUGGAGCCCAUUUCAUCCCCAGGUGCGUUAGUCUAGUAGUGGGCAGGCUUAGGAGGUAUCUUCCUAGAGAGCCACUCUAGGUCCAGGCCUCCUCUCUCCCAGGACUCCUUCCCACCCUUCCUGAACCAAAAGUCACCUUAGGGGUUUCAGGCAGCUGGAACUUGCCUGCCCUUGAGCAUUAGUGAGGUAGUACUGCUCCUGGGUACCGAGGUAAAUAUUUUCAUAUAGUGAGCCAAGUAGAGAAACUUUGGCUUUCUUCUACGUUUGUGUUAACAGUUUGGAACUAGGACCAUGUUGAGGGUGAGCAGAGUAAGGCAUGGAGGGUUACAUUCUGCCUUUAUUUAAAUUUUUGAAAAUUUGUUCAUAGUAAUUAAUUUUAUCUAUUUUUCAAAUAAAUCAGCAAGUUUUACCUAUCUGGAAUCCUAUGGGUUUUGGAGCCUCC